rnacentral:sRNA from 1 species
CGUCCCUGCCUUUCAGGCAUCCUCUCCUAAAACUCAAUAAGGUCGGCCCCGCGGGACCGACCUUCUUUUUUGCUCGC